GGAAGUGUCAAGUAGGCUUCUCUCUCAGUGUUUGAUCGCAUGGUUAUAAUGUCUAACGUCAGUUUUGACCAAUCACCACGUGUUUCGAAGGCUUGGAUCGCUCUGAGACGACUUGACAAAAAUGAUGACAGAGUGGUGGCUCUUCGAGAAGUGUCUAUUCCUCCAGCCGCUGAGGUCAACAAGGUCAUUCAGAUUAUCACCACUACCUUUGGCCUGAACUCUUCCGAUGUCAUAUUCAAGUUAAGGAACAACCGCGGCUGUCUGAUCCCUCUCAACAGCUCGAUCCCUGCCAACAGCAAGCACAUGCCUUUUGUACUUGAGGUAGCCAAGAUCUUCCAGCAUGUGCGUCCGGAGCCCCGAACCGUUCCCAUGACCGUAAUCAACAAGAGCAUGAAGACCAGACUACAGACCAUUGAGCAGAGGGUAGGUUUACCAAGGGUUCAUUCCGGUUCUUUCAGCGGUGAUCAAGUGUUUAACCCGGAGUCCUUCCUCAGUAUUCUUUGUUUCUUCAAGUGUCAACGAGGAGGUUAUCUAAUGCACAAAACCUCUGCCAAUAACAAAAUACAAAAAAACAUCUUGUCUGGUAAGGUAAGAGAGAGGGUAAGGAAGUUGUUUUCCUUCAGAAGACUAUAAGUGUUUAUAUUUUUGUGGUUAUGUUUUUAAGAUUCAGCAUUAAACAUUUGGAAUUGCCAAAGAAAAGGCACAAAUUAAAAAAUUAAGUUUUCAAAUUGUAGGACUAAUGGUGCAGAAUUUUUGUGGCCAGAACCAGCUCAAGUUCAACUGUUUUAUUGUAAAUGUAUUAUUUUUUACAACUUGCUUUAAGAUUCUGUGUUUUAUUGCAGAUUCAAAGACUGGAGGAGCUUCUGCCUCAGAUCGAACUCAGACGCAAUGAAAAACUAAGCCAGGAGAUUGAAUGUCUUAACCAGAAGUUGAGGUUUCUUCAUAAGAGAAUGCAGAUGGUAGAUUCCCUGAGCUGGAAGGGGGUGCUGACC